UGCCCCGUCCUCUCCUGCUCCCAUCGCCCGUCGCAGCCUCGUCUUUGUUUCGUCGCGACACAAUCGUGAGGUGCCCCCUAAUCUUGUUCCUCCUCUUCCUUUUCGAUUUACACAAGUUAGAAUCCAGGUUAUAAUUUUGUGAUUUCGUAGGUAUACUAUAUGUUUUGCGUGGUCUGUUCUCUUUGAUUCAGGAUGUCUGAAGAGGUCGUUCCGAUUUGCCUCAUCAGUACAUGUCUAUCCCUUAAGCCAAGUCCGUGAUGGCCGAAUCAGUCGUUGAUGGGUCAGAUUUUCUGGCGGUUCGUGUCUAUCCCUUAAGCCAAGUUGUGUAGGUAUAAUUUUGCUUGUUAGCAAGGCUAGAUCUAGAUCCAUACAUGUUUGGCUCCUUUGUUACUUUCACAAAUUCCCUAAUUCCUUUUCAUGCACGAGCCAAUAUAUUCUCUAGAUAAGUUAGACGGUUUGUGUGUUCUCUUUGAUCCAGGAUGUUGUGUCAUCCGAAGAGGUAGUUCCUGUGCCUCUCAAGUAGAUGUCUAUCGCUGAUCCAAGUUCGUCUGAGAUUUUCUGACGACCCGCUUGUGACGCCUGAAUCAGUUGAUGCGUCAGAUUCGUCAGUUUAUGUUGUAUCCGGGCACACCAACGGUUCAUCUUCAUCGUCUGCUCGAAGAAGGCUCUUAGGUGCUUGCUGCGGUCCACAAGGUGCCCGAGGACAUCCGAUUUAUGGUUCAUGUUCGUGGUUCCUUUAGCUAACCAGAUGAUGCUUUGCCCGUCUCCAAACAUCACAGGAAGGUAAUUGUGUUGGUAAGCUGAUUGGCGCGCAUGUGUGUACGUGCGUGCCUAUUGUAUUAUUGCCUGUUGUAUUACAUUGGUAGCAUAGGACGGCCUUUGCCAUGUCGGGUGCGCUCGCUUGGCAGGCCACGAGACAAUAAAAGGAAUAUUUUGCUGGUGUCCACGGGGUGGAGAUCGCACGGGAACUAUCAAUUUCUUCUAUUUUGCCCGGGUUCUCCACCCUGCCAUGGUGUCUCUGUCCUUCUCCUUUCAUGUGCUGUUGAUUCUGCGAUAUCCUCGUGGUACACCACGAUCCUACAUUAGUAACAAAUAUAUCGAUAGCCCUGAGUGCCGUGAUAACUACGUACUGAAGAUCAAUGAUAACUGAAUUCUGAAGAUCAGUGACAACUACAAAACCAAGGUACAUCUAGCUGCUUCCAUCAGGCAAGCACUUCGUUAUAUCAAUUUAAAUUUGCAUGUGAACGUCACCCCGGCGCAAAACAUAACCAUACUGAACAACUGCAUUUUGGUUUGAUACAAGAUCGAUUCAUACCUGUAAAUCUUGUGCUCUUGCACCGCGCCAGCACGAUAGUACUGAAAUACCCAUGAGAUAUCAUUAGAAUUCUUUUUCAAUGCAAUGUCUUCUGUUAGAAAAAAAGCGUUGUUAACUUUUUGUAGCACAAGCUUUUCCAGAAUUUUUGGUUACUUUGCAUAUUUUCGUCGAUGGUCGUCCAGUUGAAGAAGGCUCUGCCCACAAGGCCUGGGAGGGAACUGGUCAUCCGAUUUAUACUUAAUGUUUGCUGAUCAAAUCCAGAUGACGUUCGUGGUUCCUUUUGCUGACAAGAUGAUGCUUGUCUGUCCCCAAACAUUACAUAAAGGUAAUUGUGUUGGUAAGCUGAUUGAUGUGUAUGUGUGUACGUGUGUGUUGUAUUUGCAUACUUGCUGUACUACAUUGGUAGGGUAGGGCGGCCUUUGCCAUGUCGGGUGCGCUUGCUGGCAGGCCAUGAGACAAUAAAAAGUAUAUUUUGUUGGUUUGCGGGGUGGAGAUCGCACGGGAACUAUCAAUUUGUUCUAUUUUGCCCGGAUUCUCCACCCUGCCAUGGUGUCUCUGUCCUUCGCAUGUGUUCUUGAUUCUCCAAGAUCAUCUUAAAUUGCACCACAAUCCUACAUAAACAGGCAUGGGUGCGGCGAUAAUUAUAUACUGAAGAGCAAUGAACAAACGAAGGUACAUCUCACUGCUUCUAUCGGGCAAAGCACUUUGCUAUAUCAAUUUAAAUUUGCAUAUGCACGUCAUCCCAACUCAAAGCAUACAUGGUGGUUUACCCUUCGUCAAUGAACAACCAUAUUUUGGCUUGAUACGAGAUUUAUCAUGCAUGUAAAUAUUGUACUCUUGCACGCCAACAAUACUGAAAUGCCCACGAGAGAUCAUCGCAUUCUUGUUCAAUGUUACAAUGUCUUCUUUUAGAAAAAAAACCGUUGUUAACUUUUUGCAGCACAGGCUUUUCCGAGCCGUUGUUAUGAGCUUUGGACCUUUGGUCGUAAUUCAACUAUUUCCUGUUAAUUCUCAUCCUGUGUGCAUAGGUGAGUUCAUUUGUUCUACUACCUGGUGUACAUAUUUAUUAUAUAUCAGUUCUGUAAAUACCAUUGAAGGGUUUGUUUUCUCCUGUGUAUACUUGUCAGUCUUCCAAAUUUGAUGCCUUGUUAAUGGCCGUGAGGACUCGAGCUUGUCCAGAUGUUCUUCAUCAUAGUUCCUCUCGGUGAUCAGCUGGAUUCCAGUUGAGGUUUACUGGAUGUAUAGCUUGUCAUAUCAGAAAAAAUAAUGAUUCUGAAUGCCUUUUUUGAUCAGCAAUGUCUAUUCGGGAACAGCUGGUUUCACAUUCCAUGCACGUCUGGUUAUGUGUAAUCUUACAUUUGCAUGCAAUUCCUAGCCAUGCAUAUAUGGCAUCGUCCGAGAUGUAGAGGCGCCUGCAUGCACCAAGCGACCAGCACAUCAGUCAAAAGGCUGAUUGCUGGCUCAUUUGGCACUAUCUCUAAUUGGAAGUACAAUGCACCUCAACCUAGUGCUGAGCAAUCCCGGAUGCAAAUUGCUAACAACAAGGUCAUUCCUUUGCAUUUGCCUCCUGGUGAUACUUCAACUGAAAGAACACUGUAUAUUGACGGUACUGCAGAGCGAAUUGAAAUAGCAAAGCAGCUUGAGUGAGGUUACCGGUGAGAAUCAUGCCAGAAAUCCAACAGGGCUACCACCCUCCCCGUCCUUGGGCAAACUGGGGUGUGUCUGAUGCACCAGCAACACAACAGCCUGUUUACAUGCAGCCUGGAGCUUAUCCUGGUGCACCACCAUAGUAUGGCCAGCAACCUUAUGGCAGAGUAGCCCCCUGGCACUAUAACCAACAGCAGCAACCCCAACAACAACAGUAUGCCACUGGAACUGCUGCACCUGCCGAUGCUAGCAACUACAAUUACAGCCAGUCUGCUACUCAUGUUCACAAGGGUAUGGUGAUUCUACGUACUCUCAGCAGAGUGGCAGGCAGCAAGUUUAUAUAUGAUUACUCUGGUUAUCAGACCCAAGGGCUGUCUUACUUGCAGCAGCCUGGAUAUAUCAGCAGGACUAUGGGGCAUCGAUCAGCUGCGAACUCAACUCAGGGUGGUGGUACUGCACCGAGCUAUGGUGGUCCAGGUCAGCAAGCUUCAAUUCCAGCCACUGGAGGCCAACUGGGUUAUCCUAAUCAACCACCUAUACUACUGCUGCUGCAUCAAGCUACAUGACGCAAGGUUCUGCCCCUCAAACUGGAUACAUUGCUCCACAGACACAGCCUGGCUAUGAUAUGCAGCCACCACCACAGUCCACGUAUGGCCAGGAUGCUUAUGGACAGCCACCACCACCGCCUUCAUCUGCUCCGUAUGGACAGGCACCACCUACUCAGGCUGGUUAUGGGCAGUAUGGAUACAGUCAGCCAGGCUAUGGUGCACCGCCGCCUUCCCCUGGUGCACCCACUGCUAGCCAGCCAGGCUAUGGCCAAUAGCAGCCAUACUGUGAUCGUUAUGCUGCUGGUAGCUAUGGGCUACCUACAGCGUAUUGUAUUGAAGGUUUAAAUCGGCGUGUAAGUGAAGGCGUUUUUCAACUUCACGCCUUCGACGUCGACCCCCUUCCCCCUGGUGCAAUGCUAUUUAAUCAGAAAUCAUUAUCUUUAAGAUUCAAGGACGUUCGAGGAGUUUCCAGAACCAUUGAAGACUUUGCUGAGCAAGGCAAGCAACCUACUUUGAUCAUGUUGAACCCAUAUUUGCAUUACACUUAGAAUUCUUUUUCAUGCAUAAAGUAUUGUUUACUAGUAUUGCUGGGUUUAGCUAUGCCCCCUAUGUGCUUGAUAUUGACACCCCUUUGACAUUCUUAUGCUAAGUAAAUUAGCUAGGGUUUAGCUAUGCUCUAUGUGCUUGAUAUUGACACCCUCCUUUGACAUUCUUAAUACCCCUCCUUUAUAACCAUGUAGUGGUCACAAAUAAAUGUGCAUCAUAUGUGCAAGUUUAAUAGUAAUACUUAGCCAUGGUAGUCGCAUGCAUCAUAGGACUUGGGAAAAAUCUUUGUUACUCAUAAAUGUUUUACAAAAAACCCAAGGGUGUCACUAAUGCCCAUGGGAUGAUUCUGAAAAUAAGGUUUUACAAAAUGGAGAUGAAGUGGAGAUUUAGUUAGGUGAUUGUGAUCUUGACGAGAUAGUCAAAGACAUUCGAUGAAUUAUGAAAAUUUAUGUCUAGCAAAUGAGAAUGGUGGAUAUUAUAUUGGUGGAUAAAUGAAUCUUCAAUAAACUUGAAGCAAUUUGGAUUUAGUUAGGCGAUUAUGAUCUUGAACCAAAUUUUUUUGAUGCAUUUAUUUAGUUCAUUGUGAUCUUGAGGAGAUAGUCAAAGAUGUUCGGUGGAUUAUUAAUCUUUGCCAAUUUGAAUUUAAUUAUGUGAUUGUGAUAUUGAACCGUAUUUCAUGAUGGAUUACGAGAUUUUAGGUGGAUUUAGUUACGUGAUUUAAUCUUAAGAAGAUAGUCUAAAAUGCUCGGUUGAUUAUGAGAGUUUAGCUAUGGUAGAUGGCCAUGGUGAUUUAUUGGUGGAUAAAUAGAUCUUUAAUUUUUUUGGAACAUUUCGGGUUUGGUUAGGUGAUUGUGAUCUUAAACCAAAUUUCAUGAUAGAUUAUGAGGUUUUGGUUGGAUUUAGUUAGGUGAUUGUGAUCUUAAACCAAAUUUCACGGUAGAUUAUGAGGUUUUGGUUGGAUUUAGUUAGGUGAUUGUGAUCUUGACGAGCUAGUAAAAGAUGUUUGGUGGGUUAUGUGAAUUUAGGCCUAGUAGGUGAGCAUGGUGGUAAUUUUAUCAGUUAACUUAAUUUUUAAUAAACUUGAGAAAAUUUGGAUUUAGUUAGGCGAUUGUGAUCUUGAACCAAAUUUCAUGGUGGAUUACGAGAUUUUAGAUGAAUUUAGUCAGUUGAUUGUGAUCUCGAGGAGAUACUCAAUGAUAUUAGAUCAAUUAAUUAACCUUGAACAAUUUGAAUUUAGUUAGGCUAUUGUGAUAUUGAACCGAAUUUCAUGGUGAUUUAUGUGAUUUUAGGUGGAUUUAGUUAAGUUAUUAUGAUCUUGAGAAGAUGGUCAAAGAUGUUCGGUGGAUUUUAAGAUUUUAGGUCUAGUACAUGAGCAUGGUAUGGUGACUAUUAUAUUGGUGGAUAAACAAACGUUUAAUUUAGGUUGAAACAAUUUGAAUUUAGUUAGAUGAUUGUGAUCUUUUAAGCAAGUUCACUGUGGAUUUUGAUGUUUGGGUUAGAUUUAGUUAGGUGAUUGUGUCCCGACGAGAUAGUCAAAGAUGUUUGAUGGAUUAUGUGAGAAUUUAUGCCUAGUAAGUAUGGUGGUUAUUAUAUUAGUGGAGAAAUGGAUUUUAAGUAAACUUGGAGUAAUUUGGAUUUAGUUAGGCGAUUGUGAUCUUGAACCAAAUUUCAUGGUGAAUUACAAGAAUGUAAAUGGACUUAACUAGUUGCUUGAGAUCUUGAGGAGAUAGUCCAAGAUGUUCGGUGAAUUAACUAAUCUUUUUUAACACAGUACAGGCGCAGUCGCUCAUAUAAACGCGCAUACACGCACACCCUAUCCCUAUGAGCACCUUGAGAGCUGGCAUAUCAUCUUGAUAUUUUACGAAGUUACCGUGGACGCCUCGUAGUCGACGGGAACAAUUUUGAUUUAGUUCAGUGAUUGUGAUAUUGAACCAAAUUUGUCGGUGAUUUAUUUGAUUUUAGGUGGAUUCAGUUAGGUGAUUUUGUCUUGAGGAAGAUAGUCAAAAUAUUCGGUGGAUUAUGAGAUUUUAAGUAUGGUAAAUGAACAUGGUGAUUAUUAUAUUGGUAGAUAAACAUAUAUUUAAUUUAGUUUGGAUUAGUUUGGAUUUAGGUAGGUGAUUGUGAUUUUUUAAUCAAAUUUUACGGUAGAUUAUGAGGUUUUGGUUGGAUUUAGUUAGAUGAUUGGGAUCUUGACGAGCUAGUAAAAGAUGUUUUGCUAGAUUAUGUGAAAUUAGGUCUGGUAGGUGAGCAUGUUGGUUAUUAUAUUGGUGGAUAAAUGGAUUUUUAGUAAACUUGAAAAAAAAAUUGGAU